GUGAGGAAUUUUCCGCAAUGGGCGAAAGCCUGACGGAGCAAUGCCGCGUGAAGGAUGAAGGCCUAUGGGUUGUAAACUUCUUUUCUCAGAAAAGAAUUAUGACGGUAUCUGAGGAAUAAGCAUCGGCUAACUCUGUGCCAGCAGCCGCGGUAAGACAGAGGAUGCAAGCGUUAUCCGGAAUGAUUGGGCGUAAAGCGUCUGUAGGUUGUUUAAAAAGUAUUCUGUCAAAGAUUAGGGCUUAACCCUAGAUAGGCAGAAUAAACUUUUAAGCUAGAGUUUGGUAGAGGCAGAGGGAAUUCCCGGUGGAGCGGUGAAAUGCGUAGAUAUCGGGAGGAACACCAGAGGCGAAGGCACUCUGCUGGGCCAAUACUAACACUGAGAGACGAAAGCGAGGGGAGCAAAUGGGAUUAGAAACCCUAGUAGUCC
rnacentral:rRNA from 1 species